UGGGGAAUAUUGGACAAUGGGCGAAAGCCUGACCCAGCCAUGCCGCGUGUGUGAAGAAGGUCUUCGGAUUGUAAAGCACUUUAAGUUGGGAGGAAGGGCAUUAACCUAAUACGUUAGUGUUUUGACGUUACCGACAGAAUAAGCACCGGCUAACUCUGUGCCAGCAGCCGCGGUAAUACAGAGGGUGCAAGCGUUAAUCGGAAUUACUGGGCGUAAAGCGCGCGUAGGUGGUUUGUUAAGUUGGAUGUGAAAUCCCCGGGCUCAACCUGGGAACUGCAUUCAAAACUGACUGACUAGAGUAUGGUAGAGGGUGGUGGAAUUUCCUGUGUAGCGGUGAAAUGCGUAGAUAUAGGAAGGAACACCAGUGGCGAAGGCGACCACCUGGACUAAUACUGACACUGAGGUGCGAAAGCGUGGGGAGCAAACA
rnacentral:rRNA from 1 species